UAUGUGCUGUAGAAGGCUGUGGUAAUUGUUUUUCAACAUACAUUACCUCUUCCUCCUUUUUUCUGCAGGCUGUUGGGGUGGAGAAGAAACCAAGAAUGUUAGUUGUGCAAGCCUCCGAACUGGAAAUGCUUACAAAUACUGUGUAAAGGACAAGGAAAAUCCUAAAUGUGUGGAGUGGCAAUCAGUGGAUUCCAAUAAGACGUCUAUGUGGCUUGCUGAACUUUGCCAACACAAAAACACUACACAUGCACCCAAUGUGAUUGAUGUCAGCUACUCCUGCAUCACCCUCCUGGAGUGUGUCAACGUAGACCACACUGCCAUAAGCAAUGUGACUGUGAGUAUGGCUGCAGUUAUCACUGCAGUUUAGGCAAUGUACAGUUAGUUACCUUGUAAACUACAAUACCAGACCAAACAUUCCAGUUGCAUGUUAAUAAUUUGAUAUUGAUGUUAUCAUAUUUCAGGAGCAUUUGACCCAUUUCGUUGUGUUUGGUGCAUCAGGUGAGAUGUGUAUAUUGCUUUUCAAGUUUGAGGAGCCUCCUUGUUUAAUAGUUUUUUUCUAGUAUGUUUGGGGUCACUUAGAAAUGUCCUUGUUUUUGAAAGAAAAGCAAUUUUUUUUCCUCCAUUAAAAAAACAUCAAAUUGAUCAGAAAUACAGUAUAGACAUUGUUAAUGUUGUAAAUUACUGUUGUAGCUGGAAACAGCUGGCCUUCUAGGCAGAG
rnacentral:lncRNA from 1 species